GGGGAAAUAGCUCAGUUGGUUAGAGUGCUAGUCUGUUACACCAGAAGUCGUGGGUUCGAACCCCAUUUUCCCCG
rfam:Amborella trichopoda AMTR_V1.0_contig_5687, whole genome shotgun sequence.